rnacentral:rRNA from 1 species
AUGGCAGGCGAGGACACCGACCCCAAGUCCAGCGCUCCUGCUGCUGCUGUGCUGUACGUGUUCUUCUCCUUUCUGUUAGAAGUCCUACUACAGUUCUUGGCUCUAGUUUCUGUCCUACGUAUGUUAGGUUCUACGUCGUAUAAGCAACUUCAUCUAGUGACUGUUCUAGAUGUGUUCACCUCAAGUUCAUAUAUGCAGACGAUGUUUACCUUCUCUCUGUCAGAUUGCAUGACUUGCUUUAUACUUGCUAUUCUAGCCAUGUUUUAUCUACUAUUUCUGUUAAUAAAAUCAUUCGGUAAAUUGCUCAUAUAUCCAACAAUCCAAAAACCUUAUUAUAGGCAAUUUACCCCGAGUGGUUUUGCUGCUUCCAUGAAACCUCCUAUGUUUGAGGGUAUCCACUAUAAGAGGUGGCGCCUGAGAGCAGUCUUAUGGUUUCAGACCAUGAGCUGCUAUGACGCCACUCUUGGCAAACCUGAAGGAGAGCAAGAUGCCCAACAGGCACAAGCUUUUCAGAAAAUGGAUACCUUGUUUAAGGCUGCUCUCUUGAGUGUUCUUGGUGAGAACAUAGUUGAUGCUUAUGCGUCAAUUGACAAUGGAAAAGAUAUGUGGGACGCACUCGAGGCCAAGUUUGGGGUCUCGGAUGCCGGCACUGAGCUGUACAUCAUGGAGCAAUUCUAUGAUUACAGGAUGACUGAAGAGCGCUCCGUGGUUGAGCAGGCUCACGAGAUACAGUCAUUUGCUAGAGAACUUGAGCACUUCAACUGCAUGCUACCGGACAAGUUUGUUGUCGGGGGUAUCAUCACUAAGCUUCCUCCUUCAUAG